rnacentral:rRNA from 1 species
AUGAACGCUGGCGGCGUGCCUAAUACAUGCAAGUCGAGCGAACGGACGAGAAGCUUGCUUCUCUGAUGUUAGCGGCGGACGGGUGAGUAACACGUGGAUAACCUACCUAUAAGACUGGGAUAACUUCGGGAAACCGGAGCUAAUACCGGAUGAUAUUUUGAACCGCAUGGUUCCAAAGUGAAAGACGGUCUUGCUGUCACUUAUAGAUGGAUCCGCGCUGCAUUAGCUAGUUGGUAAGGUAACGGCUUACCAAGGCAACGAUGCAUAGCCGACCUGAGAGGGUGAUCGGCCACACUGGAACUGAGACACGGUCCAGACUCCUACGGGAGGCAGCAGUAGGGAAUCUUCCGCAAAGGGCGAAAGCCUGACGGAGCAACGCCGCGUGAGUGAUGAAGGUCUUCGGAUCGUAAAACUCUGUUAUUAGGGAAGAACAUAUGUGUAAGUAACUGUGCACAUCUUGACGGUACCUAAUCAGAAAGCCACGGCUAACUACGUG